CUGGUGGUCGGGACUGUGUUCGCUAUUCGGGGGCGCCGAGUUCCUCCGAGUCCGGCCUCGCGGCCGGUUUUUGGAAACGAGGCGCCCGAAAGGAGACCGCGCCACCGCCGGCCGGCAGCGCCGCUCAGUCGUCCGGGCCGAGCUACGGGCCUCCACCGUGCGGCUGGAGAAGCGGGUCAGUCCGUGGGACGCACACUGGCCGUCUCCUGGAAGUAGUUCGUCAGGCAGGACGCGUCGUGCGGCGUUUGGAACUCACGGAGGCGCCGUGGUGGAGGGUGGAGGGCAAGGGCCCGGCCGGCGACCGCGAGCCCUCAGCGCUUCCGGGGGCGCCCUGAUUCACAGCCGGCGCCCACUCACGCGAGGCGGAAGCUCUGGCUGACGCGGCAGGGAAGCUCGUGCGGACGCUGGGGCGGCCCACCGACCGAGCCGAGCGUCAGGCGCGCUGCGAAGCCCGGAGGCGGCGGAGGGCGUCGACGGGCGGUAGUGCGGCAGAUGCUGGCGGUGGCCGUGCAGGCGGGGCGCCUUGCUCUGGGGCGCAGUCCUGGCCGCGUGAAGGGGCCGCCGGCCAGCGGAGGCCGCACCUGGGACGCACGCCAGCUAGAUGCAGCGAAGCCUGCUGACGUGGAGUUAGCACAAGUGGCUCCAUUUGGGGUCUGCUGUCUGUUUUUUUCAACAAUACCCCCUUUUGAUGAGACUCUCUGCAGAAACAAUUUUCUCUGAUGAGUGCCGCUCCCAGCUUCCACCCUGCAGUUACAGCCUGUUGCUGGUGCACUGUACCGUGCAGGGUCUGGACGUUUUGGUGACUCCCUGUGGUGUUCGUAGGUCACGACUUCGGGCUCUCCGGUUUUAGCCGUUCAUGCUCGGGGCUCUUUUUCCUCUGGUCCAGUCUUUUUCCUCUGGUCCAGUCUUAGGGAGAUCAUUUGCUUGGGUUAACCACUGCAAACGUGCACUUACAGCUUUUUAGAGAGUACAGAGUGCCAGGGUACCACUGCCGUUAUCAGAAGCAGGAUAAUCCUGCGUGGAGAGCCCCUCGGAGCCUCGUCCGCAUAUCCAAACCAAUCAAAAGUAAGUCAAAGAGAUGGCUUGGAGGCACCUUUUAAAAAGCGAGGUGGCUUGCGCAGUAAUGUUAGGGAGCUCUGAGUUUCAACUUUCCCAUAAAUUAAUCCAGGCAGGGCGUGUUCCGCGCCGCACAGACACCUGUUCAGCUGAGAGAUAAUCACGGGCUAUCCCAUUACCGGGAGCAGCGUUGGCCCUGCAGAGAUCUCACGAUGGAGGCAGAUCUGGGUUAGAUAACCAUAAGAAAGUGGGGAUACAAAUGUACUACAAUCUGCACCGACAUUUGUGUGUGACUGGAUAAGUACAGUUACAAUUGGAGAAAGGUAAAAACGAGGCGCUGGAUGUUCUGUGGUUUCAAGUCAGACUGCGUAGAUGACUGGGGGUUGGUGCGCAGUAGGAGAGAAACUAGUCAGAGGCAACUCGGGGUCCCCCAAAUCAAGGACAAAUAGGCGUUUUAAUAACAAAUACAGUAGUUUAAAAGGUCACCCCUUUAGCGAUGGGUUGGGACGUAUGGAUGGUGGCAUUACCUUUCCAGAUAAAUGCCAGCACAAAAGAAAGAAGAUACGGUUUCUUUGUUAAAGUAUGAAACCUUGAGCUGGUGUCUUUGGAAGCAGUCCACAUCGAAGUCAGCCACUUCUCAUCAGUUUGAUUUGAAGGUCUCCAGCGUCUACACAGGAACCGAUGUCAGGGGGAGCCUUCCACAGCUUUGGUAAGAAAGCAGUUAACUGAAGAGAUGUUACUGCAGACUGACCAAGAGAAGACCCCGUAUGCUCCAUCCGCAUUUCCUGUGGCACUGGGCCUGAGGAAGGACUGAACCAGCAGACCCCAAUACAGUGUGGAAGGGGACUGAACCUCCAGCAGUUUCCUGUGCAGAAUUUGGGUUGGGUAGAGCCCAGAGCUGUGGGGAACUUACUCACGGUCCUGGUGAGGAAGACAGAGAACUUAAGGGUUUCAUGGGUGCCACACCGGUGUUUUCCACUGUCCCCAAAGCCAUCAGAUGUCUCCUUUGGUCCUGCUGCUAACCAAUCUUUUAAAAAAAUUCAACUGAGUACA